GAGCUCCACAACUCUGCGUUGUGAUUGGUUGUGGUUUUCUGUAGUGGUCUCCAUCUGUUGCAAAGAGACGUUUCCUUGGUGAGAGGUCAAGACUACACUAUCUAUGGUGUAAGGAUACGUAUUUAGAAUGCUGGUUUAGUAAAGUGGUGGUUGUGGAUCCUCCUUCUCUAGCACUGAGUAGGUGGCACCAGUAUCAGGCAUCAUUUCCCUCUUGUUGAGUUGGUCUUAAGUCCAAUUAGGGAGAUGCUGGUUACCACCAAGGUAUGCAUGCCACUGCUGCAUCCUUAGAGUUAUCCUGUUAGGUUUAUCAACACAUUUUAAUUAAGGUCAUAUGUACCAUAUGCUUAGUAUUUCCCUGGGUUUCAACAGCAUGUAUUCUGGGUCAAGAGUUGGGUAGUGAAUAAUAGGAGUCUAUGUGUCACCAGUAAAUAGAUUAGGGCCACCAGGGAAGUCAAAGAAGAUGGAAGAGAAAGCUCUUAGCUGUGUGACCAUGGAUGAGAUACUUUUACCAUCUUGGGGACCAGAAACUCUAACCUUCUUCAUUGGUUCUAGCAGCAUUUACUUGAGUAAAGUUUACCCUGUGCUAUAUGUUAGGGACACGGAGAUGGGAGACAGUCUGGCCCUGCCCUUGUUCUGAUGCCAUGUGUUACCUUGAGACUCUCCUAAAUUUCCUCCAUAUCCCCAUGUAAAAGUGGAGAGGAGCAGAGACCUGAUCAGUAAGAGCCACAGAGCUCUUGGAGUGGUGGGUCUUGUCUGUCAUGGGCUCCCCAGGCCCCUUCAUAUCUGCUUUCCCUGGGAGAGCCAGGCUUUCCUCCCUUCCCUCUCUCCUCCCCUGAAAAAUUCUCAAUAGACACGGCCCUCUAUGUGGCCAGGAAGCCCCAGGAAGCAGCUUGAGCCCAGCUUUCUCGGGAGGAAGAAAAGAAAGAACGGGCUUCUAGGUACAUUUGACAAUGAAAGUGACUUAACAGAAAGUGUCCUAAGCUCGCCUCUGAGGGGUCACAUUAGUUAGUCAGAUCAGCAGUGAGAGCUUGCAUGCUCCCCUCGGUGGGCCAGACAUCAGUAUUCUCUCACACUUGUAGGACAUUGGAUCUCACUCUUGUUGGAGUUUUGCAGCCAUGCUUUUAGUUACACUCAGCGGGAAGUUUUGGACUGCCUUCUGUAUUCAAGGCCUUACGCAGGGGAUGUUGAUCUUUUUCAAAUUCAAGUGUAUGGACAUUUUUGAGAUUUUUCUAACUGUCUGUCUCUUCUGUUAGACUCAAAACUUAUUGGAGUCAGACACUGCCUGUCUUCCUCCCCACUGACUUCUUUAGUACAUCACAAUGGUGACUUACAAACAAUGUCAUCCAACAGAGAGUGACAGGAAAACAUUAAUUCUGAGACAGGGAUCUUGGAAUGGCCUUUAAUUUUGCAAAGACUGGUAAACAGAAGCAUGACCCUUAACCAGGAACAAACAGAUGGUCGACAGACAUAAAUUGAAAAGAAUGAUAAUUGUAGGAAAUAAUUACCAACCGUGCACCAAGCCUUGUGCUGAGCACCUCAUGAUUAUUCACUCAUUUAAUUCUCCAGAUAACUCCGUGAAGCAGGCAUUCUCAUUGUCCCCAUUUUACAGAUGGGUAAACCAAGGCAUGGGGAGUCACUAACUUAUAAGUGUCAGGGCUCAGAGCUGAACUCCUAUUGUCUUGCUCUGAAGUCUAUGAUUCUACCCACUCUACUGCCUUCCAAGAUGCAUUUUCAAAAGGGAAUAGUCAGGGGCAUGGAGUGUUGUGAAGCUAUGGCUUCCAGCAAUGUUCUUCCUGCUUUGCUAUAUGGUGUCCGGCUGCUGAUCCAGGACCCCUGGGAAGAGAGGCACAAAGAGGAACUGGAGAGAUGUAGAUAGGCAGGCUGAAAAAGAGCUCUAUUGGGCUGAGUGACUCUCAACUGAAGGAGCCGGAUUGGCCACUGGAGCAAAUGUGACCCCUAGUUACCUUUUCCGAAGCAGGUCCUAGCAGCAGGCUACUUUGCAGAGCUUCUAGAUAAGGUGGACAAAGUCAUUCUUUUCUCCUGAACUACUCAGAGGUCAUCCAACAGCUAAAGCCACCCAAGGCUACUGUUGCCUCAUCAAAAUCAGUGGUCCAUGGACAGAAAGGAAACAGUCUAAUGUGCAACCUUCUGUGUGUAGGAAGUUGGGGCGGAGCAAACUGGAGGAAAGGUUCGGGCAAGCCUGACAAAAGCCUGCCGGUUAAGCAGCCCUGAUGAUAAGAGAUUAGUGCAGAGCGUCUGACAUUGGCUCCAUCGCAGUGGCUUAGGGCUUCUGCUUGGGCUUCUGGCCACAGGGAAGCAGCCCUGAAACCAUGGUCUUUCUCUCCAGACUAGAUCUGCAGGAGGGCCUCCGAACACUCUCCGUUUUACAGUGGAUUCCACUCUAUGUCAUUUUAGGCCACUGUCUUCCAGCAGGACUAGAGUAGAGGGUCCGUCAGGCGAUACCAUAUGUAAGAGCUCAAGAAGACAAGGGCAGCAGCCGCCUCCUCCCCGCUAAAGCUCACUGGCUCCCAGUCAUCCUGGCAGAGUUGGAGGAGUGGAAUGGGAAUGCUAGAGACACAUGAUGGCACCAUUGUGUCACCAGUGGAAACACAGAAGCAUAAAGUGCAUUUUUUUUUUUGGUCGGUGUUGUUAAAGUUUUGUUUUUUUUUUUUUAUUACGACAAAUAUAGAGAAAAGAGAAUUCCUUGUUUUAAGUGGCAGUCAGUUGCAUUAACUACUGUGUUACACAGUGUUCUACAACCAUGUCCAAAAUGUUUCAUCUUCCUAAACGGAAACUCUGUACCCAUCAAACCUUGACUUGCUAAGUUCCUCUCGCCCAGCUCUGGAAACCACCAUUCUAAUUUCUGUUCAGGUGAACUUUCCUAUUCUAGACGAUCAUGCCAUGGUCACUGUUAUUUCACAAAACAAAGCCUUCAAGUUUAUUCAUACGAUAGCAUAUGUCAGAAUUUCCUUUUUAAAUGAAUAGCACUUUUAUGGCUACACUAAAUGUCAUGUAUUCAUUCAUCCAUUAAUGAGCAUUUUUCCCUCUCGGCUAUGAGGAAGAAUGCUAUUUUAAGUAUAAGUGUAUAACUUCUUUGAAACUGCUUUUGAAUGUUUAGGAUAUACAAAAAAGAGGAAUCUAUGGACUGUAUGGCAAUUCUAUUUGGUGAUGCUUUGAGAAACUGCCAGUGGCUACACCGUUUUAUUUUUCUCACAACCGUGCAUAAGGGUUUGGAUUUCUCUGCAUCAUCACCAAUACUCUUAGCUUCUGGGUUUAUUAUCAUCUUAACGGGUGUGGCAUGAAACCUCACCAUAGUCUUGAUUUGCAUUUUCCUAAUGACUAAUGAUACUGAGCAUAUCUUCAUGUGUUUCUUGACUUGUUUUAGACUGAUUAUCAUUCCAUUUGUAUAACAUUCUGUUUCUGUUCUUUAGCUGACUAUGCUAAAAAUUUCAAGAAUCCUGGGUCCUGCAGAUUACCAAAGCAAUCUUGCAGUAGAGUAAAAUGUCCACAGAGGUGCCAAAUAUAUUCAAAUCUGUUCAUCAAUAGUUAUAGGGAAAAUAUUCAUUAUAAGACCUUGAGCUGCCUUUGCUGAGGCCGUAACAAUGAGCUAAUUAUAGGCUCCUUGUUAUCAACUACAGAAACAAACGUUUCAACCACGGCACACGUUUCAAAUCACUGUACUGUAAUGUGGACUAUAGUAAGUGAAAGAGCCAUGAGAAAGGAAUGUGAGGGUGCCAGGUAAAGAAAAUCUUACAACAGGCUGAGGAGGCUGAAGGGGAAGCAGCCUGGCACGGUGAGCAGCUGGUGAGCCCUGGGGAAGUACAUCAGAGUGGGCUUACAGUUCAGUGCGGGACUUUGGAGUCCCAAGGGUGGCGCUGCUAUAAGGCUUAGUAUCAUCGUCCCCUUCUCUGGGCUCACAGGCAAUGUUCUUCACGGAAAAGUCUCCCUCCCUCCUCUUUCUCCCUUUCCUUUAUUCGUUCUGAACCUGGUCGGUGCUUCUGUCUGAGUGAUAUUCAGAAGCAUAGCCAAUAUAACAUGCCAAGGGAUGUUAGCUGGAGGAAAUGGAGUUGACAGGGCAAAGAGAACAAACAGACAGAGGGACAAGUAGGAUGGAGAAAGUGAGAAGAGACGACGAAAAGAUGAGUUAGGGAACAUGAAAGCUCUGAUGGCCCUCUGAGGUCCAGCUUUCUUUCUGAGGUUUGCUUUCUCUCUCUGUGUCUCUUCUGUGUUGUGGAAUAUUAGUUUAAGAUGUGUUGCGUUUGUUUAUACU